AGAUCAGAAGCGAGAAUGUUGACAUGAGUAGCGACAAACAGGGUGAGAAACCCUGUCGCCGAAAGUCCAAGGGUUCCUGCUUAAAGCUAAUCUGAGCAGGGUAAGCCGGCCCCUAAGGCGAGGCCGAAAGGCGUAGUCGAUGGGAACCAGGUUAAUAUUCCUGGGCCAGUGGGAUGUGACGGAUCGCAGAUGUAGUUUGCCCUUAUCGGAUUGGGUGGGCUGCUGAGCGGUUCCAGGAAAUAGCCCCACAUCAGACCGUACCCUAAACCGACACAGGUGGACUGGUAGAGUAUACCAAGGCGCUUGAGAGAACCACGUUAAAGGAACUCGGCAAAAUGCCUCCGUAAGUUCGCGAGAAGGAGGCCCCAUAUGUACGCAAGUAUGUGUGGGGGGCACAAACUAGGGGGUGGCGACUGUUUACUUAAAACACAGGGCUGUGCGAAGCCGUAAGGCGACGUAUACAGUCUGACGCCUGCCCGGUGCUGGAAGAUUAAGAGGAGGGGUGCAAGCUCUGAAUUGAAGUCCCAGUAAACGGCGGCCGUAACAAUAACGGUCCUAAGGUAGCGAAAUUCCUUGUCGGGUAAGUUCCGACCUGCACGAAUGGCGUAACGAUCUCCCCGCUGUCUCUAACGUGGACUCAGCGAAAUUGAACUGUGUGUCAAGAUGCACACUACCCGCGGUUAGACGGAAAGACCCCAUGAACCUUUACUCCAGCUUUGCACUGGUAUCAGGAUUGUGAUGUGCAGGAUAGGUGGUAGGCAUUGAAGCGGGGACGCCAGUCUUCGUGGAGCCUCCCUUGAGAUACCACCCUUCGCCAUCUUGAUAUCUAACCGCGGCCCGUUAUCCGGGUCCGGGACCCUGCAUGGUGGGGAGUUUGACUGGGGCGGUCGCCUCCCAAACAGUAACGGAGGCGCGCGAUGGUUGGCUCAGACCGGUCGGAAAUCGGUCGUUGAGUGCAAUGGCAGAAGCCAGCCUGACUGCAAGACUGACAAGUCGAGCAGAGACGAAAGUCGGUCAUAGUGAUCCGGUGGUCCCAAGUGGGAGGGCCAUCGCUCAACGGAUAAAAGGUACUCUGGGGAUAACAGGCUGAUGAUGCCCAAGAGUCCAUAUCGACGGCAUCGUUUGGCACCUCGAUGUCGGCUCAUCUCAUCCUGGGGCUGGAGCAGGUCCCAAGGGUAUGGCUGUUCGCCAUUUAAAGAGGUACGUGAGCUGGGUUUAGAACGUCGUGAGACAGUUCGGUCCCUAUCUGCCGUGGGUGCAGGAGACUUGAGAAGAGUUGACCCUAGUACGAGAGGACCGGGUUGAACGAACCACUGGUGGACCAGUUAUCGUGCCAACGGUAGUGCUGGGUAGCUAUGUUCGGACAGGAUAACCGCUGAAGGCAUCUAAGCGGGAAGCCCCCUUCAAAACAAGGUCUCCCUUGAGGGCCGUGGAAGACGACCACGUCGAUAGGCCAGAGGUGUAAGUGCAGCAAUGCAUUCAGCUGACUGGUACUAAUUGCCC
rnacentral:rRNA from 1 species